UACGGAGGGUGCGAGCGUUGUCCGGAAUCACUGGGCGUAAAGAGCUUGUAGGCGGUUUGUCGCGUCUGCUGUGAAAUUUCGGGGCUCAACCCCGAACUUGCAGUGGGUACGGGCAGACUAGAGUGUGGUAGGGGAGACUGGAAUUCCUGGUGUAGCGGUGAAAUGCGCAGAUAUCAGGAGGAACACCGAUGGCGAAGGCAGGUCUCUGGGCCACUACUGACGCUGAGAAGCGAAAGCAUGGGGAGCGAACAGG
rnacentral:rRNA from 1 species